UACAGAGGUCUCAAGCGUUGUUCGGAUUCAUUGGGCGUAAAGGGUGUGUAGGUGGCGCCGUAAGUCGGGUGUGAAAUUUCGGAGCUUAACUCCGAAACUGCAUUCGAUACUGCGGUGCUUGAGGACUGGAGAGGAGACUGGAAUUUACGGUGUAGCGGUGAAAUGCGUAGAUAUCGUAAGGAAGACCAGUGGCGAAGGCGGGUCUCUGGACAGUUCCUGACGCUGAGGCACGAAGGCGAGGGGAGCAAACGGG
rnacentral:rRNA from 1 species